GGGCGUAUGGUGUAGUGGUAUCACACAUGCUUUGCAAUCGUGAUCAGAUGAGCUGGUCAUGUGACUUGUAUGUAGUCCAGGGUUCAAUCCCCUGUGCGUCCA